rnacentral:lncRNA from 1 species
AACGGAAAAACGACUUUCAUUUGUGUGGCUCUGAUCUAUACUCAAUUCAGUAGCUCUUCUGAUUAUAUCAUAUAAUAGGAGACUAGAUGAUUGCCCCAACUCGUAUACUCAUCUGAUUGCCACAACUCUACUACUAGCAAGUCAAACUUAAAGAGACUCGUCACCAACAAACUCACCAACCUAGUAGUGGUCUUAUGGAAGCAGGUAACCUCCCCUGCGCUCUAAACUAGAAAUAGCAGCUUAUACUCUUUCUUAUCUACUUUAGGAAACGACAGAUGAAACUCUAUCUUAUCAAGUUGAAGAAGGACUGAAACCAGCUUGAAUUCUUCUCGAGUUUAGGAAGGCUGAUGAAACUCUUUCUUAUCAACAGAUGAAACAUCUCCUUCUCUGCUUUAGGAAUGAGUGAAAUCUUGAAACUGAAAGCUGCUGUCAACUCCACCACAAAGAGUGGAUACAACAUCCUUUAUCUAGUACUAGAAGGGGGUAGCUUGUCGGCUUGUCCGCGUGGCGAAUUGCUAGAGCGGGACAAUAAGUAGAGUGUGAUAAUGUUGUUAUAGAGUCGAGGUCUUACUUGAAUUAGUAGUCCUGUUCUGGUGAUUGUUUAAUACCUUGGUUCAUCCCCUGUAUCAUCUGUGUUUGUAGUCGUUACUUGGCCCCCGAUGCUCUAGUGCAGUAGCUUGCCCGGGUAGCAAUUUGUAGAGGAGAGGUCUUGUUUUUUCCAGAGCAGAGUUUCAAUUGAUUGAUACCUUACGCGAGAUACGAGACUUGCAUUCACUAUGGAUUUCAAAAGGCUCUUGAAAAAGCACUUUCCAACUGCUUCCCCCAAUUGAGAAACCCCGAAAAGAAUUAUGAAAAUGCCUAUAUACCGUGUAGUAUAGAGGUCAUGAAGAAGGCGAUAGAUAUGGCUUGCUCAAAGAAAAAGAAGCUGGUAUUGGAACAGACGGCUACAAUAAAUGCGCUCUGGCAAACCUUCCGGGAAUGACUCGAUCUCUUGGAUGGGCAACCCAUUUGUUCGUUCGGUGGGUUUAUCUUCUUCCCGGGCCUGGCCCUCUUGGGGCGCUAACGUAUUUAAGCGCGUUAGUAUACAUGUAUUAAUAGCAAGUCCAUAGAAACUCCUAUUUGGAAGCUGUGCAAAGAGAAUAAGUGUCAAAGUAUAUAGAAGCGGAGGCUAAAGUCAGUGGGUAAGGAAGCACUGGAAAGCAGGGCCCUUACUAUUAAUUGCAGGGAAUCAUAAAGUACUGGCUGGUCGGUUAAGGUAAUAAUCAAGUCAAGGCUUUGCUGCGAGGGCAGCGUCAGCUGCGAUGCCUGAAGUUUCAGUUAAGACAGACGAGUAUCUUUCAGUUCGCCUAGUUCGAGUGUAAUCGUCAAAAGAAUCAGGUUCUCCAGAAGAAGGUAAAGAAGAUGGAUAACGAUCAGAAACUAGAUAAGGGUAUUCAUCGGCGUCAGGGAAAGUGGUUUCUUGUUUACAGUUAAGUGAUAGUACUGUUGACAGGAAGAUCUUAAACAAGAGAAUAAGAAAGAAGGUUCAGUGGCUGAAGGAUAGGUAGGUUCUCCAAAGAGCAUAGGUAGGUUGUUUCUACUCGUAUUACAAAGAAUAUAAAUAAUAAUGGAAUUGUUAACUGACAAAGAAGUAAUCAACGGCUUUCGGAACUCACAUUAGCACUUAAGUUACUACAUAAACGACUCUCAUCUCAGGUCAACAACAACGGAACUAACGGAUAAAGAUGGAAUGAAUUCUUUGACUUUCACUUACGGAGUUUUCGCUACCCUACCGGAUAGUCAGCCUUAGCUAUAGGCCGCACCCGCCACGCUCAAGCAAGCAACAGCGUUAGUGAGUUUUGACGCGAAGGGGUUUCUUUUUACAUACAGACUUCUCCACGUUGUGCUCUUAUCUAGCUAUAAUCUACUCAACUCUAUCCCCUCUCCCUCAUACUCCAGAACUUACAAUAAGGGCCUCUCCUAAAAGAAUGGAAUCUAUCGAGCAACUAACUGGAACUCACCGUCACCGGACUUACGCACCCCGUAGAAGCUUCACUAACACACAAGUAAAAGAAGAAAUAGAAAUGAAUUGUAAACUUCCUAAGCACCUUGUUAACUGGAAUUGUACUUGUUCCAAGCACCUCUGAUUCUCGAAUUGACUUCCCUCGCUCACUACUAGCAGGAACAUGAACUAGCCCGCUCCCACUAGACCUCGAACGGAAGGGGACUCUUAUGACCCCGUUGACUUUUGCCAAUUACCUGAACCUCCUUCUACCUUGACUUCAUCAACUACACUUUCUCCAGCUUAGGGAUCAUGAUCCUUCUUAUCUUGCAAAAGGUAGCUAAGGAUCCAUGUAAAGACAAAACUCACUACUUACUCUCGCUAUUAACAUAAGGGCUGCUUACUAACUUGUUCCAAUCUCUCUCCUAAAGCGGUAUUUUAAGCAUCAGAGGUUACCUGCUUCCAGAAUACCUAGGCUAAGAGGAGCACUCUGAUUCUUCUGUUUCAACUAAUUAGCUACGAACUCCCUUUCCGACUGGUGGUGUACUAAAACUCUGCAUAAAGUAAAGACCGAGCAAAAGCCUCUUAUUCGGUUUCUGACUCCCCGGAUUCCCUCUAUUCUUGCCAGUCAAUACAGUUCCGUGUUCGCCUCUACGGCCAAGGUUUUAGUAGUUGUUACUUUACUUGUCCACUGACGCUAUGAAUACAAAAAACAGGAUUUGUUAGUGCUGGGGGCCGUGCCUUAACCCUACUUCUCUUGCUUCUAUUGUAAAGACCUGAUUGAUAGUUGUUUCCGAAAUAAACCCGGCUGAUGAUCUUUCAACAAAGUGUUCUAUUUCUCCCCUAAAAGAUCUGAAUCUUGUUCCUGUUGCUUGAUACCUGCAUGAGGCUCAUCUACCAUACUUCUUUCUCUAGUUUAUUUCUUUCUUGAUUAUAUAUUUCUUUAUUGCGGAGGGGUUUGUGCUAGUGUUUCUAUAGCUAGUGUUUCUAUAGGAAUUAGUCUGGAAAGUAGUAAUUACAGAAUGAGUUUGACUGACUUGCUUGUUAGGGUGGUAAACUAACCAAAGCUAUGUAGGUAGCAUCAUAGUUUCUACUUGCACUGUUGCUUGUUUCAGACCUAACAACUAACUUCUAGGAGAUUUCUCAUUCUAAAAGCAAGAGAGAGUGCGUCAAGAGUACAGGAAAGGGAACAAUGUCUAAUUUGCGCUAACGGGAGCAACGCUUCAGAAGGCAUAAUCAAAGUCAGAGCGCAAUAUAGGCGUUUAGUCUUUCUUUUUCCGUUCUUGUUCCUGAUCGUUGCGAUAUAACAAACAAAGCUUCUCAUCAUGCGCCAGUUCAAUAAACUCCUUUAAGCGUCCUAAAGGCAGUACACGCCGAACUGACGUUAGCGCUAGGUUCUGUUGCUGAACUAUUGCUUGCUUAACUCUCACUAAGGUAAACAACACAGCAUUAUAGCUUUCUCAACUCUGUUAUUGUAUGGAAUUGACUCUCCCUUUCUAAGGCACCUACUGCUCAUCAAGUAAGCUAACGGCGCUUGCUACCCAAUGGAAUUUGACUGACGACAUACAUAUGGUAUUUCACUAACUAAGUCAAGGGUCACAGAAAGAAGAGAAUUCCACACUUAGUAGAACAAACAGAUUUCUUUCAAAAUGGAAUUGAGCUAACAAAGUCAAGAGCAAUUGAGCUAACAAAGUCAAGGGAAAAAGUGCAGCAAAACAUUGUCUUGAGCCUCGAAAAUAAUAUCUCUUGAAACCAAUAUAGGUGUGGAACAGCUUCCUUCUAAACGGAAAACUGGAAUUCUUAGCUCAUAUGGGCAGCCGUUGCGCUAGACUCUAUUAAAUCAUUCUUUCCCUCUUGCUUGUUCUGCGGACUCUAUCUCUGUGCUUUCCUUGAAAACUAAUAUCAUUUAUUGAAACUCUGUAAGCGUAAGCGCCGAGUCAAACAUUUCAUCUUUCUCACUCACCUAUCUAAUAGGAAAAGAAACUCCUUUACCGUCCCUAGCUGUCAAGACAGUUACAGUGGAGUCUUCAGGAAAACAAUCAUUUCUUCUAUCGAGCACAGAACUCCCGUAAGCAGAAACAGAUUUUAGUCAUUCAAUUCAGAUCAGAUUGCAGUCAAAGAUCUUGGCGCAGAAGAUAACUCCGUAAGCACCUAGGAAAACAUAGAAUUCAUUGAGAACUCCUUACUCCCCACCUAAAAAUGUCUUGCAGCUGACUUGUUCACUGUUAAAGCAAGAAGUCAACUAUCAAGUUCGAAUUGACUUCCGCACCUAGCGGACUCAUUGAAACUCGGAAACGACCCAACGAAUGAAUUUGGAGCCCUGAAAACGACACUUGUGCCAACACGUUGAUACCUAACCGCAUCUUCUUGUACUUACUUCUGAGUCCUGUGCCCCUGGCUAUCUGUUCUCUCCUCUUCUCUUGCUAAUCUACCGACUUGAUAUACGGGAAACUAAAACAGAUGAAGCUUUACUACUCUACUACACCUAUUGCUACUACACUAAAACAUUCCUUCUCGCUUCGCUUGCUGCUUACUUGAGACUCAAUCUUGUUUAAGCUUAUGCAUAUGCUGCUGAUUGCCUUGAUACUGAUUCAUUCUCUCUAAGACAACACGGAUUAAAGUCGAGCUGUUAGAUUAUUAUACUAUAUUGAAGUACAUCGCGCAUCAAAGAAAGUCUGCCAUCAAACACUUGACAUCGCCUUUCCUUACCUUUGCUCACCUUUGCUCAGCUCAACACUUAUUCUUUCCUGUAUUGCUUUUGACUCUUGCUUGGUUUCAUUGAAGCGUCACUAUACCUAAACUUUCUUCACCGGCAACACUAGCACCAAAAGAAACUUGACUUGUUGCCCAAACUUAUAUAGUGGGAAAACGCCUAAAAGUGCUUUUUGAUCUCUAACCGUAGAAUAUUAGGUAGAAUAUGAGGAAUUUAGCUGCUCACUGGCGCACUUGACAGAGUCUUGCGCUGCGCUGUCAAGCAUACAAGAUUUUCCAUCUUAUAACUAAACUCCUGACUCGUGUAACGUUGAACGACUUGCCCCACCGACCUAUCCUUGCAGAAUCGUUUGCUGCUUCAUCAGAUCUAGUGUAUUCUCCUGUAUACUAGUAGGCGGAACAAUCAGACCAUUUCCUUUAGCGCUUAACCGAGAUCGUAUAUAAGGGAGUAAUAUUACCUCAUUACUCAAUCAACGUCGCCAACACAUCUCUAACCGAACCUAAAAAAGCACCUAACGUAUGAAGUAAACCCACCGCGUCUAUAAACCUCGUCGUUACAACGUGUUUCUAUGCACUUUUCUUCUUUUCUGACUUCAAAUUAGUUGUUGCUGGGUUUUGUUACUCGCCCCUAUGUCUAUGAUAAGAUCACCUUGAAGUUGUUGCUGUGCUUUGUUACUUACCUCCAUAUACAAUGACAUGACACAACAUCCCUUUCUGAACUUUGGUAGAGCAGUAACAGUAGCAGAGUAAUAAGUGUUUAGUUACUGGAUUCUAUUAGUGGUGCACUCACAUUCAAUGGGCUAACGCUCAUGGAAGUUUCCAAGCACGGGGCAUAGGUUUGUAGACGAGAAAUAAGCCCAAUUCCAUAAAACAACGUCCAAUAUUAAGUGAAAGCGCUUACGCCGCGAGUUCUUAGUUAGCGAGUGACUAUAGCCUUAGCCAGCCGUUGCAGAAGCACUUGUUUUGUGAGUGAGUGAUCGCUUGUUAGUGAGCGGGCAGCUGACAACUAAACCUCUGCCUUUCCUCUCUUGCCCCAAGCACCGAGGAAAACAAAGAAUAGAUUGAAUCUUUCGAUUCGAGUGCCAAGUCAAGUGUUUAGGGCGGCUGGUUAGCUAGUCCAAAUUAUAGAUUCAAUGAUGAAUUAACUGCUUCACUUCUAUCCUUCUGCCCUAUUAUGAAGUACUAUGCUUCCCUUGCGCAACGGCUAACUCAACUUACCUUGCCCACCUCUUUUCCAGUGUGAAGUUACUUCUUAUACUAUCUUGUCUUAUUCUAAUUCAGUUACUUAUUAGUCUUAGAAUCCGCUAGCUAUUAUUAGAAGGGCCUUCUCCUUCCCUAGCUACUUUCCUAGACUAUUAUAGCUGCUCCUUUAUUACCGAACUCAUUCAUUUGAACUGUUAACUACUUUACCUUAAUUCGUUUAAGUUUCCCCUCCAGAGUUUAGGGUUGACUUUUGAACUCACUAAUACUGUUACUUGCCUAGUUGCUUGGCCCCUUUCCACUGACUUUCUCACUGGACUUGUUGCGAGCAGCUCACUUACUUUGUAUCCUAGGAAUUCCAUAAGUGGGCGAGGGUUGGUGCUCUAGCUCUAGGUAUGAUAGAAGGCUAUCAGAUUAAUAAGAUAUCAGAUUAAUAAGAUAAUAUAUCAUUUAGUAUGUUUUCCUCAAUUACUGGUUGCGAGCGGGAAGGACAGAAAGGUUGCUUGGCGAAGUCGUUUAUCAUCUUUGUUUCUCCAUUCCUGAAGUUUGAAAGAAACUAGAUUCUUUAGUGCACCUCUUUCACUCCGGGUAUGUGCCUUAGUGAUCCAGUAUGUUACUAAGUAGUAGAAGCGUAUGGGUAUGCUCAAGUCUAGUGUUGUUGUAUACGCUUGUCUCUCUCUUUGUCUUUGUAUUAGUAGCUUGCCGGCUGUUCUUGGUAAAGUAUCAAGCUCAGUUCGGAAGUAGGGUGUUGGUUCUAAAGUAAGGUGCGGAGAGAGAGCCUCAUGAAGUGAAUAGUUGACAUAGGUGGAAGAGCCAUAGGUAAGAGGUUUCAUAGAAGUUAUAAAGAUGAGCCAUAGGUAUAGAUGGAAGCCUGAGUUCAAAGAUACUGUUUAGGAGAUGAUGAAGUGCUUGUGUUAAGCAUAGAAGAAAUCUAGAAUAGAAGAGAACUCCAAAAAACAUCUAUUGUAAUAACUUGUCAUAUCUAUUACCUUGGCUACCGCACCGAGAGCAUCUACAAAGACAGAACUUAGCUAUAGCUCCUGCCGUACAACGUCUUGCGCCGUUGCUUGGCCGUUAUAACUAUUAUUGGGCUGCCGCUACACAUUAGUAGUUACUUGGCGCGCCGUUGCUUGGUCGGAACAUUAGUAGUUCCUUGGCCUUGGCCCACUCCAUAAUCCUUAUAUAUCAUAUUAUAGGAUGACUGAUCAAACUCGGUUUGAUCCAUCUUUAAAUAGGAUGACUGAUAAAACCCCUUAUUAGAAUUUCUUCAAUCACCACCAACCAGAACCAGUGCACUAACAACGGGACUAAGACAAGUGAAUUGCAGAAUAGACCUAGGGCGAGCAAGACUUACUACCUGCCCGCCCAGGCUUAAACUUAGUAGUGCCUUAUUAUCAUUUCUAUCCGAUCCGAGUGUAAGGCUAUAGCUACUGACAAACAGAAUGAAAUUAACUCAUCACAGAAUCAAAGUAGUAACUCCAAGACUAAUACCUGUGUUAGCAAGAAUCCAACCAGUGCAUCUCAGGCUUUACUACUGUCCGCUCAGCCUCAAACCAGUGCAUCUCAGAACCAAGCACCUACCAACAAGAAUCCAACCAGUGCAUCAAAGAACCAAACCGGUGCAUCCAAGCCUGAUACUGGUGCUGCUAGGUAUGUAGCUAGCCCUUAUUAUAAUUCAUUCCACUUUUCUUUCGCUUUUUUUGCAUUUCUUAUCAAAUUAUUCAUCAUAGCUAAUUGAGAAUAUCUACUCUUCUCUUGCCCCCGAACAAUUCUAUUUCUUUGGACAGGCGCGGGGGGCCUUCCUUUCCAAAGAUUUCCACUCACUGGGGGGAAAGGUCAUAAUGAAAGUCGAAAACGAACUAGAGUGUUCUUUAUUUCAGCAAUGCUCGAAAGGGAGGCAGUAUCAACUUAGAUAAUUGUCAAGGAGGGCGCAAAAGUCUCUGCCAAGUCCCUACCUAUACGAGUAUACUCGCUUUUAAGCCACAAUCAGUAUAGUAUCUUCAAGCAAGGGCAAGGGAAGACAGAUCUUAAUCAUCAGUUUUCAAUCGAAUAAGGGUGCUUCACUUUUUCUACUUAUCUGGAAGUAUUGAUUGAUUGGGGCAGUGCUCAGUAAACUAAUCAUUCAUUGAAUGAACAACUUAUUCAGCUAAGCCCCCUCGCAAAACAGUAUGAGGUUUGUUCCCAGCAGCUCCCUAUUACUUUUUACCUACAGAGCGAGGAUCCACCUGUUGCGUAAGGGAAUCCACUCCAAUGUUAGGCGUCUCAUUUCUUUCUACAACCGAUGCAGACGCAAGACUCAGUACUUAUGCGAGUGACUAAAGCACGCUUAAACAACUGGAAUUGCCUGUUUCUUCUUAUCUUCUAGGUUCUGCUUGAGUAUUCUCCUCCAUAUCCUGAAUUGAAGUUGGAAUGCCACUUUACUUGCUCAUAACUCUAUUCAAUGAUGAACUUCAAGUGGUUGGUGCCCUUAAUGACUGGCGUCAGUGAGUUAUUCCGUUAAGAAUUGCAUUUCCAAGUAGGAAUUGUUAGCCUACCCUUAAGGAUUGCUAGUAUCAGUGUUAGAGGUAUAGUAGCCGAGGUUAACUCAAAGGUAAGAGCCAAGCUGUAUAGUAGUUAUGUUUCACCAGUAUAAUAGUUAAGGUUUCCAGCCCCAAGUAGUGGUCCAGAAGUACUGAGUUGUCCUCGUAAUAAAACCGAAACUGUGAAAUGCCCCAACCCAAUCAAGUAGCUUUAAGAUCCAAAAGUAGUCCAAUUGAAGCAGGAGCGGAUUAAGUAUUAGAAUAAGGCCAGAAUACAUAACUUGCCAGCGGAUUAGAAUAAGACAAGAAAGAGGGUAAGUAUAAGAAUAGUGAUAGGGUAACUUACAGUGCUCCUUCUCUUUAGUAAGAAUUCCACUCGCAAGUAAGAAAACCAUAAGUCAGAAAACCAGUAGUAGCUUGGCGAGGCAUGAAGAGGUAUUAUAUAAGAUCUUAGUAUCGGUAUAUUAAUUACUAUAUUAGUUACUAUAUUAGUAGUGGUAAAGAGGAAAGAAAGGGUUAUUCGUAAAGGAGUUUGUGUAUGUAAGUAGUAAAGAGUUCAGAAGAAAGGAGUUUUUUUCUUAGUAGAGGCUUUCAGCACCUUCCAGUUUCAGAGAGAGAUCCCUACUGAUGCCCUUAAGCUAAUGGUUAGAGUGUCAUCCCUAGUUUAGUAUUCUCAUCUGUUGACAAGUAGUAGCCCAAUUGAAGCAGUGCCAAGCCAGAGAAAAGUCAAGGAAUGGAAGCAGUGCUAGCUAGUAUAGGUAGUCAGGGGAGUUCAAAGAGACAGAGUUAGAUUAGAUGGAGGCAAGAAGAGAAGAUAGCCUCAUUCAGUUAAGUUCAUAGUUGCCUGUUGCCAUAGGUAUGGUUAUCGGAGUUAGAAAGAAGCUUCCCUUAAGUAAUUGGUGUUGUAUCCGAGAUCAGUAAUUUAGUAGAGGUAAGUCAACUAGUUCAAUUAGUUCAAGUAAACUCCAUUCUUCAAUUUAUGGAUUAGUGGCAAAAGCGAAAGAACUCCCUGGCAAUGAGUCAAUAGAGAACCUAGAGAAAUGGAAUCCGCAAGUCACAGAGAUAAGAUGGGCCAAGCACCGAACCUAGACUUAAACAAUCAUUUACAUCUCACUACUGAAGAACCAACUAUCCACUACUAGGCAAAACCCCUGACUUAUACUAGGCACCGAUAUCCAUUUCUUACAAACAAAUACAGAAAGAAAGUGAUAGAUCUCGAGCAAACUCCUAAAAGCCUUCUGAUGUGACAAAAAUAUACCACAUGUUACUAAUUUCUACUAAUCCAUGGUUUCAUUCCAAUCAGAGCAGAUCCAUCAGUUAUAGGUGGGGCAGGAUCGAAAGCUACCGGAGAAGGAGAAUAUAAAAGAGCAUAUCCGUUUUCAUUAGGUUUCAGGGCAUUUGUAGCAGUUGCUUGGGUCUUUGCCUUUGUAUACGUUGGUAGUAGUGGCUGGGCUGUGGACUCGGUGGAAACGGAUUAAACUCUAAGUGGUUGGGGUUGACUUUAUUUAUAAGAAUUCAGUUAGAUGAAAUAGAAAGGCAUAGGAUAAAGGCGGAGGCGGACAGGACACCCAUAAGAAUUCCACUCAAAGCAAAGAAUUCCAUAAGUAUAAGAAACAUAUUCCAAAUUCUCCGAUAAGUAGUGGUCCAAGUCGAGUAUCCUCUUUUGUUUACUAAGGUCUAUGAGAGAGAGGUUAUUGGCGGAGCUGGAUCUGAGUCAGCAUCAGUUUCUUUCUUAAGAAUAGAGUUUACGAACAGGGCAGAAUCUAGUGAGGAAGAUUGAGCUGUGUUUCUCUUGGGCGAAAGGAAUCUUAUUUGUAUUAUAAAGAAAUCCAGAAAUGUGGAAGAGGGCUGCUAUCUAGAUGCCUUUGAUGUGAGGGCAGCGUCAGCUGCGAUGCCUUUCAUUCUAUCUUAUCUACUUUCUAUCUUGAUUAUAUAAUAGAACUGAUGAAACUAGCCCAGCAACAACUAGAGUAUGUGUUGGUUAGUUCCCUAAAGCCAGGCCAUCUCUUUGAACUAAGGCUCAUCUACAACCAAGCGUAUACUGAUAUUGAUACAGAUCCUUAAGAUUCCUCUUCUAUUGGGGAGACUAGGAUUCCACUAGGGGGAUUCCACUAACCACUCCUGUUCGUUUUCCACCUUCUUGCAUUCGGCUCCUCUAACUCUUUCACUCCAGUACUAUACUAAGAAAAACCUCUCUCUUUCUCUUACCUCUGCUCUGGGCUCCAAAUAGCACUGUUAACUACUGGAUUAAUUGACCCCUAAGUAAUAGAAUAUAAGACUACUAGGGAAGUACCGACUACAAAGACAUAGCAAGUAGGAAAGCAAUGUAUACAAAAGCAACUCCGAUACUAACACCCGAAAGAAGAACACCUAUAGCUACCUGGCAAACAGACUAUAAGGGCCUACCUCGAAUAAGUGUUAACCCCGACUCGAGCUCUGGCAACUUCCAACUAUUCUCUUAUUAAAGCUGCUUCUCUCUUUCGAAACUCAAUCCUAUAUUAAGUGAUCCUAUGUUUCCUAUACAGUGUAAGUAGAGCUAGAAGAUGUCGACUUUUCUUCAACUAGCGGCACUUUAGCGUAACAUUAGUAGUUACUUGGUGGACUUGGUUAUGCUUAUUCUCGAACAGAGGAACAGGCUAUUCUUAGGCUACAUCUCCUUAUACAUCUCCUGCACCAACAUUCUCUUUUGAUCCAAAUCUUAUUCUAAGUCGAGUGCGUGAAGUGGUUUUCUUCGCGUUUACAGUGCAAUUGAUCUGUCUGUGCUUACGAGAAUAGAGUUAAUGUGCUUGACUUUCAUCGUGUGGUUCAUAAAGGAAAGAGGAGACUGGUAGUGACUGGGCAGUUGGCGAUUAAGAAGCUAGAAGGAAAUAAAGAAAAGAAUAUGAAGGCGCAAGUCAGGUGUCAGAGGUCAGAUGAACUUCAAGUGGUUGGUUGAGGGUCGGGAAGAAUCCAAUUUAGCAAGCCCAAGUAGCAAGUCAGCAAGUUGAUUUAUAGCCAUCAGUAAUUAUAUAGUAAAGAAAGGAAGCAAGCCGAAUCCAUACUGCUGAAGCGCGGUGAAGGUUCUCAUCUCGUCCUGCUCCCAGAGAAAGAAUAUAAGAUUAAGGUUUUUAAGCAGAAACAAGAUCUGGGUUAGAACAACGAUCUGAAGCUAUUAUUUGUUUUCCUGACACAAGUUUAAGUAAACAAGCAUAUACGUAACAAGUGACUACAGAGAGAAGGGUUUGAGAAGCCUUACCAGAACCUUAAUGCCCCUUACGAAUUUGAUGCUGGACCACUACUAAACUAAGGAAAGCAAAGCACCUAUACUAUACUUAACUGCUAACGUAGCUCUUUCCACAACAGGAUCACUGGUGAGAAUGAUACAGGGUCGUUCAAGCCUUAAACGAGCUAUAAACAAGGAAUACAGAAACAACCAAUCUCUCUCCUCUAGCUACAACUACAAAUACAGAUGAAACAGGGAAUUCCACUUCUUCUCGAGUAAAUGACUUGGGCACUGCUUCCCUUUUGCUUACUUAUUAGCUAGAUUGCUUGCUUCUUAAAUCACUAACUAUAGCUCAUCUAACUCUGUCAACUACUAAAGUUAUUGCUCAUAUACUAUUUGCUAUAACCAUAGUUUAGGUCGGGUCGAGGAAUUAAUACCUUAGUGUUAGGAUCGGAUAGUCCCCUUUUGAACUCACUCCUACUGUUGCUACUAAAAGAUGAGAUUCCAGUUCCAGGUAUCAAGGAAGAAUUCCACCAGCCCACUGAUUCCUCGAAGGGAGUUACUGGGCAAGGAGUAGGCCCACUACUAGUGAGAAAGUCUGUUACUAGGCAAGGAAGUCAUAUGAAGUCAGUUACUAGUGUUUCAUUCUUUGACUACUGAGUUUGAUUCUUUUAGUGGAUAGUCUCAUUCUUGCUUUGCCAAAGAGAGCAAACAAGUGGAAAGUAGUGUUCCAUAAGAAUAAGGAGCUGCAUCGGAUCGGGUAAAAUCAUCUUAUAAAGAAGCUGGGCGAGGAAAGGAGAUGCCAUAUGAGGAAAGGAGAUGCCAUAUAGAACUAUAAGAGUUUGCAGUGAACAACUUUACCCUUGGCAUUCAAGUUGGCAAAGAAAAUACAUCAUACAAAGGAAAGCCAGCAAGUAAGAUAGUUAAAGCAAGGGUCGAUGAAAGCCAGCAAGUAAGAUAUAGUGCAAGCAAGGGUGGAUUUAGUAUAUGUCCUAUUUAUGUCUCACCUAAAGACAGGUAAAGGGCCUAUAAGCUUGUUCUGUUCAAUACUAGUGAUCCAAUCCAGUUUCAAUCCUAGUUUACGAGUAAUGCAUUUCUCUGCGAUCAAGACGGCCAGCUAUUUGGAGUGGUAUAAACGAAACCAUCAUUCAUGGAAUUUAGAGGAUUUAACAAGCUCAUCUAUUCCUACUUGCAUCUCUUAUAUGAAGAUCGAGUGUGGUCCGUCCAUAUCCUGUGCGUGAGAUGAGAGUGACCUGCCAGCGAGUUACAGUUCUCUUCGUCAAGUAAGUUCAAAACAACCAAGCAACGUUCAUUCGUCUUCUUAGGAGAAAGAUAAGUUACUACCCGCAAUGAAAGCAGAAAAGCGCCAAUAACCUCUUUCCAUGACACCUUGCUGAAUUCGGCUCAUCUAACUCUUUCUGUUCUCUCCUCUCCUCUGUAAAAUAAUACAGAUGAUACAGGGGAUGCAACUCGAGCAGGACUACUACCACUAGACUCAAAGCGAGUACUCUCUGGAACUACCCGACCCCUAAUAGAUUGAUUCGAGAGACACAUACCCACUCAGGCAACAGAUACCAGUGCAGUGGUCGUCACUAUUUGCUAUAAUAUAAAUAAAGGGCAUGUGCUAUCUCGUACCUGAGUCCAAUCUUAGACCUAAUAAGUAGUCUGCCUUGGUUCAUUCUUGCUUGAAACUAACCCUCAGAAACAGUAGGACGAGCGGUGGCAGUUACUAGUUUCACUCUUUCUCCUCUUCUCUUGCUCCUACUUACCUGGCUCAGGCCUCUUUACUUUAUGGUCUGGCCUCAACACCCAACUUUCUCACUGCCUCUAGCUCUAGAUACGAUGAAACUUCAACUCUCUUUUCUUAACAACUCGGCUCGUCGCCAACAAAUAGGAGAAAUUAGUAACAUUGGUCAUAGUCACUGGAUUCACUAACUAGGCCUACCUCAACUCUUGCUCUACCUUCUCUGUCAACUACCCCUCAGCUCUUAACCUCACUAAACUAGUAACAGAGAUAAAAGCAGAUAGUUUACUUUUUAGUAGCGAGAUUUCUCUACUUUAUAAAUGCAUUAUUUCUAAUCGCUUGGCCGAUAUUCAACUCUCACAGGAGCAGGACUCUUACUUGCGCCAAAACCUUUACUUCCCGAACAAGCAGGACCACUUUCUUAUCUUCUUGUCCAAACUCCUCGGUGAAACUAGAUGUAUCGGAGCUGGCUCUACUCUAGUAUUAGACACUUGUCCCCCGCCUAGGUAUUCUAGAGCUAGAGCACCCACCCUCGCUACUUUAUAUUACAAUUGAACGUAACUUUCAUAACUGACCUCCGAACCCUCCAGAUUGGGGUAGAAAAUGCACUAUUUCAUAACUUAUGUAGUCUUAUAGGAAAUCCACCUAUGAAACUAAUCAACUUGCCUGAGAAUGCAUUUCUUCCUAACAUCUUUAGGGUCGAAGAAAGGACCAAGUAAAGACAGGACCUUCCACUUUAUGCUCUUUGAAACUAAAGCACCGAACAAGUAAAGAAGCUAGUUCUAAAUCUGGUGUGAAAGCCAGGCAAGCAGACAACUAGCGACUCGACAACUACACUUGAAACAAAGAAUGCAACUUGCUUUGCUGCUGUCAACUAUACCUUAAUUCUUCUAUGGCUAUGUCAACUAAUACUUAUAUGGAAACUAACCUAACUCCGGCUAAUAUGCCUCUCGGCUCAUCUACUGCCAAGCGUAUACUGUUCAAUGAGCCAACUACUCUACUCUACUACUACUACUACUCUCUAACUAAUGAUCCCAAGGCUUACUCCCUCGGAACAGCCUCUGGCGUAUACUACUGAUUCCACUACUCUAACAGCUUCUCCUGCCCACCUCUCUUAUUAACAGUGGUUGCAUUCUGACUAGCUCCUACGCGCCACUAGACCAGCGGGACAUGGCAUCAGCCUGUAACUACCCGGGUCGAUUCUAAGUCUACUUAGUUCCCAUUCUGCCUCGGUGUGUAGUAUUCCGAGUCUGCUAGCUCUCCCUUUCAUUCUCACUUUCCUACUAGCUCACCUCCACCUCUUACCUAUGGCUCCGAUACCGUAGUUAACAAAUCAAGUUAGGGCUCUGGACUCAGGACUACUAUACAGGUUGGGCAAGGGUCGGACUACUCGACUACCAGUUGGGGCUGUAAACUGGAAACCUAGGUGAAAGGGCAGACUCCGGGCAGACAUACGACAAGCAGACGAGCAACUAAUAAGGUUCAGUUCACUAAGAAGGUUCAGUUCAAGGUUCGACAACUACAUAAUACAUUCUAAUUGGAAUCAAAUCACAAAACCUAGAGAAACUCAAAAGAGCCAAGCUAACCUUAGCAACGUAGCUAGUAGACAAAGGCAAGGGAGACAAUAAGGCUCAUCAAGAAGAGGUAGACUCUGAAGCACUAAAUUCCUUAAUUCAAUAGUAAUAGAACUAUCAUACCUAGCUCAAUCCCCUUAUUAUGUUUCUUAACUAGCAGUUCCGUUAUUGUACUAAUUGGUUUCAUUCUCACUUUUGUAGUGACUUCUGGCUUUCCCUACUAAUUGGUUUCAUUCUCACUUUUGUAGUGACUUCUGGCUUUCCCUACUCAUGAGUUUCAUUCUCACUUUCAAUUAAGAGAACUAUAAGCACUAGGUUAGCUACCCUAUUCUACUAUACCUAAUAAAUCCUCUGAUUCUUCUUACCUUAACUAUACUUUGCAACUGAAACAAUAACUUCACUUUCAAACAACAACUUAUCUUAGCGCAGAGGAAGCACCCAAAGAAACAGGACUUGAAGACCCGCUUGCUGCUUCCUUAUCACUUGAUGCUUACUUUGUCUACAGGUGUGGGUAAGAUUACAUUUAGGAUGAAACUCAGGAUGAAACAAGAACCAGAGCAGUACUACUAUAUUAUUCCCCGACCACUCCUCUGUCAACUAAGUCUGAUCUUUAAACUGCUUCUUCAGUUGCUGGUUCAGAGGAUCCGCCUUCCCUUCCUCGGGACAAGAAGUGGAGUUACCAACCAAAGCAUAGGUCUUACCGAACCGACCACCACUCUACUUUAAUGCCACUAACCAAUUUGAUGCUGGAUCACUACACCUCCGAUUCAAUAGGACUCCUACUUGAGAUUCCACUUUACUACUACUACUGGGCUGCUACUACUUAUGAAGAAACUUCACUUGCUAGCUCAGCUCCUGCCGCUAGUGUUCAUAAGUUAACCUAGUACUUGCGUCAUUCUGUUACUACUUAGGUCUCUUAGUCGUUUUAUAAUGGUUGAAUUCUUUGACUACUUAGUUGGAUUCUUUACUUCAGUACUUCUAGCUUCAAAGCCUUUCCUCUGACUCUGUGAACUGUAGUAGCUUGGCUCCUCUCUUUAUUAUGUAGUUAAUUCCUAUCUUUGCCUUUCUAGUGGUUGCUGGGCCUAUUGACUACCCAGGACAGGACAAUCCACUCUAUCUCCUAUGUCAACUAAUACAGAUGAAGCAGUACUACUCUACUGCACCUCUGGCUAGGCGAGGGAAACAAGGGCUCCUUAAGCUAGUGUUCCGUCAACUAAUACUGUUAUGGCUCUGUAAU